UCCCGAUUCGUCUAACGGUAGGACGCCCGGCUCUGACCCGGGUAGUCGAGGUUCGAAUCCUUGAUCGGGAG
rnacentral:tRNA from 1 species